AAGCAAUAGUAUCCUGCUAUUUGGAGCCUUUGGGAGCUGGUUGGCUUGAAAAUACUCCUCUGGUAACCAAGGACUCAGGACAUAAACAACGGGAACCAGGGAUCACCCAGAGUGCAGGGUGAGGAGGAAUCCCUCGAAGGUUUUAUGGCAAAGUGGCCCCAAAGCAGAGGAAGGAUGAGGUCGGGGGCAUGCUGGAGAAUGGGAGAGAAGCCACUCUGGUGAGGAAACUAAGACGCCAAAGAAAUUUAGCAACCUCCCCGGGGUUGCACAGCUAGGAAGAGGCAGAGCCAGUUUUCCACUCCAGCCUGACCAACUCCACAUCUGAGCUCCUGGCGUGGAGGCACCACACUGUGCUGACCCCUGGUCGACUGCAUGUGAAAGGGAAGCCCCCUCAGUAAGUGUUUUCCCACUCACCCGGGCUGGAGCUGGGACAGCUCUCACCUGCCCACUC